UGCAGUCGAACGCAGUAGCAAUACUGAGUGGCAAACGGGUGAGUAUAAUGUGGGAAACCGCCUUUUGGUUCGGAAUAACACGGGGAAACUUGUGCUAAUACCGGAUAAGCCCUUACGGGGAAAGUUUUAAUGCCGAAAGAUGAGCCUGCACUUGAUUAGCUAGUUGGUAAGGUAAAAGCUUACCAAGGCAACGAUCAAUAGCUGUUCUUAGAGGAAGACCAGCCACAUUGGGACUGAGACACGGCCCAGACUCCUACGGGAGGCAGCAGUGGGGAAUCUUGCACAAUGGGGGAAACCCUGAUGCAGCGAUGCCGCGUGAGUGAAGAAGGCCCUUGGGUUGUAAAACUCUUUCGUCGGGGAAGAAAAUGACUGUACCCGAAUAAGAAGGUCCGGCUAACUUCGUGCCAGCAGCCGCGGUAAUACGAAGGGACCUAGCGUAGUUCGGAAUUACUGGGCUUAAAGAGCUCGUAGGUGGUUAAAAAAGUUGAUGGUGAAAUCCCAAGGCUCAACCUUGGAACUGCCAUCAAAACUUUUUAGCUAGAGUGUGAUAGAGGUAAGUGGAAUUUCUAGUGUAGAGGUGAAAUUCGUAGAUAUUAGAAAGAACACCAAAUGCGAAGGCAACUUACUGGGUCACUACUGACACUGAGGAGCGAAAGCAUGGGUAGCGAAGAGGAUUAGAUACCCUCGUAGUCCAUGCCGUAAACGAUGUGUGCUAGACGUUGGAAGUUUAUUUUUCAGUGUCGCAGCGAAAGCAUUAAGCACACCGCCUGGGGAGUACGACCGCAAGGUUAAAACUCAAAUGAAUUGACGGGGACCCGCACAAGCAGUGGAGCAUGUGGUUUAAUUCGAAGAUACGCGCAGAACCUUACCAACACUUGACAUGUUCGUCGCGAGACUAAGAGAUUAGUCUUUUCAGUUCGGCUGGACGAAACACAGUGCUGCAUGGCUGUCGUCAGCUC
rnacentral:rRNA from 1 species